rfam:Theobroma cacao cultivar Matina 1-6 chromosome 9, whole genome shotgun sequence.
GCGAAAAGAACCUGCUAGAUUAGCCUAGGUGACUGCCUGGCAACCUGAAGGGAGUUUCAGGUUUCUUAGCCAUUUACUUGAAUCCCUGGGGAAAGGUGCAGGCAAGUCAUCCUUGGCUACCAAGCAUGACUCUUUACU